UACGUAGGUGGCAAGCGUUGUCCGGAAUUAUUGGGCGUAAAGCGCGCGCAGGCGGUCCCUUAAGUCUGAUGUGAAAGCCCACGGCUCAACCGUGGAGGGUCAUUGGAAACUGGGGGACUUGAGUGCAGAAGAGGAAAGUGGAAUUCCAUGUGUAGCGGUGAAAUGCGUAGAGAUGUGGAGGAACACCAGUGGCGAAGGCGACUUUCUGGUCUGUAACUGACGCUGAGGCGCGAAAGCGUGGGGAGUAAACAGG
rnacentral:rRNA from 1 species